CAGGCCUAACACAUGCAAGUCGAGGGGUAACAGGGCUCCGGCCGCUGACGACCGGCAAACGGGUGCGGAACACGUACACAACUUACCUCUGACUGGGGCAUAGCCCGUUGAAAAGCGGAUUAUUGGUCAGAGAUGGGUGUGCGUCCUAUUAGCUAGUUGGUAAGGUAACGGCUUACCAAGGCGACGAUAGGUAGCUGAUGUGAGAGCAUGAUCAGCCACACGGGCACUGAGACACGGGCCCGACUCCUACGGGAGGCAGCAGUGAGGAAUAUUGGUCAAUGGGCGCAAGCCUGAACCAGCCAUGCCGCGUGAAGGAUGAAGGCGUUCUGCGUUGUAAACUUCUUUUAUCAGGGAAGAACGGCAGUCCUGGGGGAUUGCGUGACGGUACCUGAGGAAUCAGCACCGGCUAACUCCGUGCCAGCAGCCGCGGUAAU
rnacentral:rRNA from 1 species